rnacentral:misc_RNA from 1 species
CGGUGUGUCCGCAUAUACCCUCACACAUCUAUGAGCACACACACGCACGCGUAUAGUUAUAUAUCCACGGCAGUAUCAGUCCCCCUCCCCCUCACCGGUCUUUCCUCUCUACAGCCUUCCAUUGGGGGGCACACUACCUAGACAGCAGCGUGGCAGAGUGCACGGAGUUGACGCCUUGUCCCUUCUGCCCCCCCACUCUUUCUCUUAGACGAAACGGAGCCUAAAUCGAUAGGCACCGUUGGCAGCUGUCUAGGAAGCAGCGUACGCCACUCUCUUUCUCCUUCCAUCUCCACUGCGAGCGGAGAGAGGGGUGGGGCAAAGAGAGAGAGAGCGGCUUCGACUUGCCCCCUCCCCGUUCCCCCCUUCCACUCACUCGUGAGGUGUCAGCGAUCACUCGCGUUCAACUCUUUUCUGUGCAACCGCACCUGCAUACGACUUUGUCAGCGCGUUCUUCAGGCGUACAGUAAUGCGGGCUAUUCGGCGCUGCUCGUCAGUGUCGCCUGCUAGGACACCACCGGCUGCUGCUGCUGUGAGCCAGCUCCGCUGGGCGGCGGACGAGGUCCGUGCACAGGUGCCUCGAAGCUGCGUGCUGGCGCGUUGGACAGGGACCGGCGCGGCGGCAACGCAGCCAAAUCAGAGUCUGCUGGGCAAAGGCAUGAGCUUUGCCUCUGGCCUGCUGCGUGACAUCUCUCCCUCCACCCGAAGUGCCUCCACAAACGCGUCCAUCGACUCCACCGUAGGCGAUGUCCUAUGGGACUUGUGCGAGCGCAUGGACUACUACGUCCAGUACAACAUUCCCUCCAGUUGGCAGGUGACGGAGCUGCUGCGCGACAAUAGCAUUGCCAUCCAGUGUAGCCCACCACCGCCCACGGAGGCAGCGGAGGGGUCGGGUGCAGCUGUGCACGGUAUUUCACUUAACUGCUUUGCAUACAAGCAGCGCGUAAAGCAGGCAGACAGCGUUCGGCUUCUGCACGUCUUCCUGAAGCGCUUCAACGCAUCGGUGAACAACUCGCUGGAGUUGCUGUCCGAGGGUCACCCGCCGCCGCCGCUAGCGGAAGUGAGGAUACCCGCCAAUGGUAGCAGCGGUGGUGCUGUGGAUGCCAGAACGGUGACGAGCGCUCACUCGCGUGGCACCGGUGACGACAAGGGCACGUGCCAGACGCUCGCCAAGCAGCUGAACAGCGCGGUGGCGGAGGUCACCUUUACGCCAGGCCCCGGCCAGCCACUUGCCCAUGGUUUGUGCCGCGCUUUCUACAACUCCAAUGGCCGAUUCCACUACGUUAUCGUUGUCGCGGUGCCGGAGGAGGAGUACGCUAACUCGCUCGACCUCAUGAUCCACGCUUUGGCUUCGGUUGUCGAGAGUCGUGUGGAGGCUGCGGCGAAGAGGACAUAACGCCAGCCACGGCAGAAGGUGAGGGGAUGGGUGGGGAGAGAACAAGAAGGAUACGCCUCCAUUCGCUGGGCCGAAAAACGAGGUGUCCACCCUCCCCACCCACCCACCCUGUAUCACUCCCGCUCUGCACUACUCGUCCAUUCUUCCCUCAGUGUCGUCUCCUCAUUCCUCCUCCUCCCGCUGCAGGGUGUGUCUCUCCGCGUCAGUUUUCAAUUUCUUCACAGUGAAUGUCAGCACGCCCGUGAGGGCGUGUCUGCGAGUGUCGGUGUUUGUGUGGGCGUGCGUGUGGGGGGAAGGGGGGGUUGGCGCAGCAGAUGUACUACUCACUGACGUACACUACAAGUCGUUCCGUUUCGCUUUCUGUCUCUCCCCUCGGGUGUGUAUGCGUGUGUGUCAGUCUCUCGCCCCCCACCCUUCCUCCUGUCUUUGCCCCUCUCACAUAAAUGGGGCCACACGAAUGCGCGUAUUUGUGCGUGUGCUGGUGUUUUGUUGGCGCACAGCGACGACAUG